GAUGAACGCUAGCGGCAGGCCUAACACAUGCAAGUCGAGGGAGAAGCCCUUUCGGGGGCAGAAACCGGCGCACGGUUGCGUAACGCGUAUGCAACCUACCUUUCACAGGGGGAUAGCCCGAAGAAAUUUGGAUUAAUACCCCAUAAUAUUAUUGGAUGGCAUCAUUUGAUAAUUAAAACUGCGGUGGUGAAAGAUGGGCAUGCGUCCUAUUAGCUAGUUGGAGUGGUAACGGCACCCCAAGGCUACGAUAGGUAGGGGUCCUGAGAGGGAGAUCCCCCACACUGGUACUGAGACAGGGACCAGACUCCUACGGGAGGCAGCAGUGAGGAAUAUUGGUCAAUGGUCGGAAGACUGAACCAGCCAUGCCGCGUGCAGGAAGAAUGCCUUAUGGGUUGUAAACUGCUUUUAUAUGGGAAGAAUAAGGCGUACGUGUACGUGAUGACGGUACCCAUAGAUAAGCU
rnacentral:rRNA from 1 species